GACGAACGCUGGCGGCGUGCUUAACACAUGCAAGUCGAGCGGUAAGGCCCUUUCGGGGGUACACGAGCGGCGAACGGGUGAGUAACACGUGGGUGACCUGCCCCUUAGCUCUGGGAUAAGCCUGGGAAACUGGGUCUAAAUACCGGAUAUGACUCCAUAACGCAUGUUGUGGGGUGAAAGCCUUGUGCGGCUUAGGGAUGGGGCCCGCGGCCUAUCAGCUUGUUGGUGGGGUGAUGGCCUACCAAGGCGACGACGGGUAGCCGGCCUGAGAGGGCGACCGGCCACACUGGGACUGAGACACGGCCCAGACUCCUACGGGA
rnacentral:rRNA from 1 species